AUUGAACGCUGGCGGCAUGCCUUACACAUGCAAGUCGAACGGCAGCACGGGAGCAAUCCUGGUGGCGAGUGGCGAACGGGUGAGUAAUAUAUCGGAACGUGCCCAGUCGUGGGGGAUAACGCAGCGAAAGCUGUGCUAAUACCGCAUACGAUCUAAGGAUGAAAGCGGGGGAUCGCAAGACCUCGCGCGAUUGGAGCGGCCGAUAUCAGAUUAGCUAGUUGGGGGGGUAAAGGCCCACCAAGGCGACGACCUGUAGCUGGUCUGAGAGGACGACCAGCCACACUGGAACUGAGACACGGUCCAGACUCCUACGGGAGGCAGCAGUGGGGAAUUUUGGACAAUGGGCGCAAGCCUGAUCCAGCAAUGCCGCGUGCAGGAUGAAGGCCUUCGGGUUGUAAACUGCUUUUGUACGGAACGAAACGGCCCUUUCUAAUACAGGGGGCUAAUGACGGUACCGUAAGAAUAAGCACCGGCUAACUACGUGCCAGCCGCCGCCGUAA
rnacentral:rRNA from 1 species